GUCAGGUACAGAAGAGCAACAGCUCAGGGAGGAGCCAAAUUUAGGUUUAUCUGUCUGGGUAUCUCUGGCAGAAGUUCAAACAGGGAAACAGAGAAAGUUGUCCCAGGCAAUACAUCAGAACUGUAGCUUCAUGGUGAUAGUCAACUUUAUGAUGAUACCAAAAAAGUGAAAUGAAGGGUGGAUUAAAAAAAAGUCUCAUCUAGCAAUUCACUUCACCAUAAGACCGGCACUAAAGACCAAGAACUCUUUCUACAUCCGUCUGUGGUAAAUUAUCUUGGAAUCCUCUUAUGACAGCUUCCUGAUUGUGUGUCCAGAGACCACAAAAAUUUCGGACAGCCUACCAGUAAAGAGGACUACCACUUAUUUUACUGUCUUAAAGGUAUCAGUGGUGCAACCCAUGCUAAGGAUGGGCUUGUAAGAAUAAAAUCCAAAACUUUUUGUGGACUAGCA
rnacentral:lncRNA from 1 species